UAGGGAAUCUUCCACAAUGGGCGAAAGCCUGAUGGAGCAACGCCGCGUGUGUGAUGAAGGGUUUCGGCUCGUAAAACACUGUUGUAAGAGAAGAAUGACAUUGAGAGUAACUGUUCAAUGUGUGACGGUAUCUUACCAGAAAGGAACGGCUAAACACGUGCCAC
rnacentral:rRNA from 1 species